rnacentral:rRNA from 1 species
UACGGGGGGGGCAAGCGUUGUUCGGAAUUACUGGGCGUAAAGGGUUUGUAGGUGGCUUGUUAAGUCAGACGUGAAAUCCCUCAGCUUAACUGGGGAACUGCGUCUGAUACUGGCGAGCUUGAGUGCAGGAGAGGAACGCGGAAUUCCAGGUGUAGCGGUGAAAUGCGUAGAUAUCGGGAGGAACAUCGAUGGCGAAGGCAAUCACCUGGGCCUGAACUGACACUGAGACACGAAAGCGUGGGUAGCAAACAGG